rnacentral:tRNA from 1 species
UCCCUGGUGGUUCAGACGGUAAAGCAUCUGCCUGCAAUGUGGGAGACCCGGGUUCGAUUCCUGGGUCGGGAA